UCCGGUAUGGUGUAACGGCUAACAUUGCCGCCUUUCAUGAUCGCCUGUGAGGCGCGUCCGCGGCAGCUCGGGGUUCGAUUCCCCGUACCGGAA